GAUAAAGAUAAGGAUAAAGAAGACAAAAAAGAUAAGGAUAAAGAUUAAGAUAAGGAUAAAGAUAAGGAAGAUAAAGAUAAGGAAGAUAAAGAUAAGGAUAAAGAUAAGGAUAAAGAUAAGGAUAAAGAUAAGGAUAAAGAUAAGGAUAAAGAUUAAAAGAUAAAGAUAAAGAUAAGGAAGAUAAGAUAAGAUAAGGGUAAAGAUAAAGAUAAGGAUAAAGAUAAGAUAAAGAUAAAGAUAAGGAAGAUAAAUAUAAGGAAGAUAAAGAUAAGGAAGAUAAAGAUAAGGAUAAAGAUUAAGAUAAGGAUAAAGAUAAGGAAG